rnacentral:rRNA from 1 species
CUACGGGCCGCACCAGUGAGGAAUAUUGCACAAUGGGGGGAACCCUGAUGCAGCAACGCCGCGUGGAGGAUGACGCAUUUCGGUGUGUAAACUCCUUUUAUAUGUCAAGAAAAUGACGGUAGCAUAUGAAUAAGCACCGGCUAACUCCGUGCCAGCAGCCGCGGUAAUACGGAGGGUGCAAGCGUUACUCGGAAUCACUGGGCGUAAAGGACGCGUAGGCGGGUUGGAAAGUCAGGUGUGAAAUCCUACAGCUUAACUGUAGAACUGCACUUGAAACUUCUAAUCUAGAGUAUGGGAGGGGGAGAUGGAAUUAGUGGUGUAGGGGUAAAAUCCGUAGAUAUCACUAGGAAUACCUAAAGCGAAGGCGAUCUCCUGGAACAUUACUGACGCUAAGGCGUGAAAGCGUGGGGAGCAAACAGGAUUAGAUACCCCGGUAGUC